UGGGGAAUUUUGGACAAUGGGCGAAAGCCUGAUCCAGCAAUGCCGCGUGUGUGAAGAAGGCCUUCGGGUUGUAAAGCACUUUUGUCCGGAAAGAAAUCCUUGGCUCUAAUACAGUCGGGGGAUGACGGUACCGGAAGAAUAAGCACCGGCUAACUACGUGCCAGCAGCCGCGGUAAUACGUAGGGUGCAAGCGUUAAUCGGAAUUACUGGGCGUAAAGCGUGCGCAGGCGGUUUGCUAAGACCGAUGUGAAAUCCCCGGGCUCAACCUGGGAACUGCAUUGGUGACUGGCAGGCUAGAGUAUGGCAGAGGGGGGUAGAAUUCCACGUGUAGCAGUGAAAUGCGUAGAGAUGUGGAGGAAUACCGAUGGCGAAGGCAGCCCCCUGGCAAGUACUGACGCUCAUGCACGAAAGCGUGGGGAGCAAACAGGAUUAGAUACCCUGGUAGUCCACGCCCUAAACGAUGUCAACUAGUUGUUGGGGAUUCAUUUCCUUAGUAACGUAGCUAACGCGUGAAGUUGACCGCCUGGGGAGUACGGUCGCAAGAUUAAAACUUAAAUGAAUUGACGGGGU
rnacentral:rRNA from 1 species